AGCGUAGGUGGCCUAACAUGUCAACUGUGAAAACCCGGAGCUCAACUCCGGACUUGCAGUUGAAACUGGUAAGGCUUGAGGACGGUAGAGGAAGACGGAACUGCCAGUGUAGGGGUAAAAUCCUUAGAUAUUGGCAGGAACGCCGGUGACGAAGGUGGUUUUCUGGGCCGGUUCUGACACUGAUGCUCGAAAGCCAGGGGAGCGAACG
rnacentral:rRNA from 1 species